AGGACAGUAGAGCAACUACAAUUCUGCAUCAGACCGGAAUGGGACAACGUUCCUCUCCUACAACUCCAGCAACUGGUCUCCUCACUUCCCACAUGUUUUCAGACAUGUU